UACGAAGGGUGCAAGCGUUAAUCGGAAUUACUGGGCGUAAAGCGUGCGCGGGCGGCUUGUCGCGUCAACUGUGAAAACCCGUGGCUCAACCAUGUGGUCUGCAGUCGAUACGGGCAGGCUAGAAUUCGGUAGGGGAGACUGGAAUUCCUGGUGUAGCGGUGAAAUGCGCAGAUAUCAGGAGGAACACCGGUGGCGAAGGCGGGUCUCUGGGCCGAUAUUGACGCUGAGGAGCGAAAGCGUGGGGAGCGAACAGG
rnacentral:rRNA from 1 species